GGAUGUGAGGGCAAUCUGGCUGUGACAUCUGUCAUCCCAUUGAUCGCCAGGGUUGAUUCUGCUGAUCUGGCUGUCUAGGCGGGUGUCCCCUUCUUUCCUUAAUGCUCCAUGUGCGUCCCUCCCGAAGCUGCGCACUCGGUUGAAGAGAAUGACAACCCCCGAUAGAGCAGGACCUUUCCUCGUUCAAGGGUGUACCAGUAGCUGCGCUCCCCUGCUAGAACCUCCAAACAAGCUCUCAAGGUCCAUGCAUUUCAUUAUGUUAUGUUUUAUAAACGGUACCCCAAAUCACAUAACAUUUAAGAGCUACAAAAGCUAAGUCAGCUCAGAGUG
rnacentral:snRNA from 1 species